rnacentral:snRNA from 1 species
AGAGAGUCACUUGAACCCAGGAGGCGGAGGUUGCAGUGAAUUGAGAGAUUGUGCCACUGCACACCACCCUGGGCAACAAGA